rnacentral:misc_RNA from 1 species
AAGUCGUAACAAGGUUUCCGUAGGUGAACCUGCGGAAGGAUCAUUAAUGAAUUUAUGACAGGGUUGUAGCUGGCCCCAAAUCGGGGCAUGUGCACGCCUUGCUCAUUUCCAACCUUUACACCUCUGUGCACUUUACAUAGGCUUGGUCUGGGCUGUUCUUUAUUUUGGAAUGGCUGGCCGGCCUAUGCAUCUUACAAACGCUUCAGUUUUAGAAUGUCAUCUGCGUAUAACGCAACUAUAUACAACUUUCAGCAACGGAUCUCUUGGCUCUC